rnacentral:lncRNA from 1 species
UGGCGAAUGUAUGGUAUAUGGUGAUGAUGGUGAUAACAAUGGUGAAAGUCUAAUUCCACUUUUGCUCUUUUGAGGGGAUACAUACCUUUCUUGCUCUUUUGAAACUUGGGGAGAAUGAGAUGGUCUAUAUUUUCUUUUUCUUUCCUCUCAGGUGGGUAUCUUGUACCUCUAAUUCUACUGUCGGACACUUGUCCAAUUUUACCUCUCGUCUCACUUUUUCUUUUCUUUCGAGGUUCCGGGCACUUGCUCUUUUUAUUUCCUCAUAUCUUCUUUUUUUAGAGUACUCAUCUCCUGAAAAUAUAGCAAGUGGUAGUAACCAAGAUAACUUGAACAUUUAUUUCACAAGGGAAAAAUAGAAAUAGUUUUGGCUAUUCUCUCCCGGAUUAGGAGUAGAAUAUUUUUGGGUGGUUCUGGAGAUGGAAAUGAGUGGAUAUAUGUGGAUGCGUACUUCCGAAGUAGAAGCAGCAUGUGUGAGUGAACGUGCAAGUGAAUCUUGAUUUAACCACAUGACAAGCUCCUAAGGGUCUACACAGCUUGACCACACUCAAUGCUCAUAAGCAGUAAAAAGUAAAUGUGUGACUCAAAGUCUAGCAAGCAUGUAUAUACGGCUAUGGUAGGAAUUUAAACUCUCAUCAUACAGGAACUCAUCAUGCAAUAUUUUAAAGAUUUUUCUAAGAUAAAAUUCUCCACAAUUCUAGCAUCUCUAGGAAUAGAUAAACAGCAGCUCAACCUUCCCAUAUCAUACCCAUUAACAACUUAGACUUCAGAUCAAGUUCUCUUCCCACAAGUUCAGGUUUAGAGCAAGCUUUAAAUUAUAACAGUUAUGUCUAAACUUGAGAGAAAACUCAGAAAAUUAGGCAGAGCAACUAUUCAUCACAUUCAUGCUAGAGUUUUAUUAUUAAGAUUCAGUUUAGCAUAGUCACUUUAUUUAUUUAUUAAACAUACUAAGCAAAAGAUAUAUAUAUAUAUAUAUAUAUAUAUAUAUAUAUAUAUAUAUAUAUAAGCAUAAAAUCUUUAUUUGGUUUUCCAUAGUUAUGUAUAUUUAUAUUUUAAUAUAGUAUAAGUAUAAAGAUAGAUAGAAAUACUUAGCGAGAUAAAUGGGGGUGCUGUCCCCAAGCUGAAUUUUGACAUAAUUUCUUCUGAUGUAGCUAGCAGGUGGCAGAGGUAUAUUUGAAAGUCAGUAGUAUCUUGACAGCGAUUAGAAUGUCCUCCGUCUGCUAGUCUUCUUGAUUCUUAAAUUCUGUGGAGCUCAAAUAGACAACAAAGCUUUGUGGAACUGAUUAGGUGUUAGCAUAAAUAUCUAGCCUUUAUCAUGUUGAGCCUCCUCAAUAAAUGUUACUCUCUAUUUUUAUAUUUUCGUUUUAUAAAGCAGAAAAUAAAUAUUUAUUCUAUUUUUAUGCCACUACAGUGAAUGUACUUAUGGGUUUUAUGCCACUCGUAUACUCACAUGGGGCUUACUAUUUUUUUAACAUUUUUAUUUUCUUUUUUAGGAUAGUAUGAACAUAAUUAACUAAGUAAACUAUUUUAAAUAUUUGAAAGGAAAAGGAUAACUACCAAGUUUACCUUUUGGCAAUGCGUUCGGUGUUUUGAAGUCCUCCGAACAGGACUCUCUGUUUUCUUCAGUUGUUAUGGGAUUCAUUGGGUGGCGUAGUCGGUGCUUCCGGCGGUGCCUCUUCUUCGUGUAUAGUUAUCUUCUCUCUCCACACCUGACUCGGUGCUACGGUCUCCUCAGGAUAAUCUUGUUCAAGCUGUAUGUCUUCUGAUCUUAUCACUUCUCCUUCAUAGUCUGCCCAUCCGUCCUUGAUGAUUUGCCUCUUCUGGUUGUGGUUGCGUCUUCUUCUUCUUGUCCUGACCUGCUUAGAGUCUUCAACGAUAUAGUUAGGGUCACUAAAAUAGCGGCGUACCUUCUCUGAGGGGAAGUGCAUAUGAACUUCUCUAGUUCCAAUGUAGAUGAUUGCUUUAACGGUGCUGAGGAACGGUCUUCCAAGGAUGACGAGUGGAUCGUAUUCGUCUUCUCCCAUGUCAAUAACCUGAAAGUCUGUGUAGACAAAAUGAUCAUCUAUUUUGACAGGGACAUCCGUUACUAUACCUUUAACCUCUUGAAAUGUCUGAUCUGCCAUCUGGAGCUGAAUGUAUGUUGGUUUUAGGGGCAUGGUACCGAACAGGAGCUGAUAGGUGACUGCGGUCAUUAUGUUGACGCCCGAUCCGGUGUCGCAAAACGUCUUGUAGAAGUUGUACCCAUUUAUGGAGCAAUAGAUGCUUGGCAUUCCUGGGUCGUCCUUCUUGGUCAGAAACAGUGACUUAAGUCGAUGAUCUUGUCCUUCAUGAACUGCAGUGACAAUCUUAGCUGACUCGGUCCACACUUGCUUGUUCCUGUUCCUCCUGUUGGUCCUCUUCCUUGGUUCAUGUCGGGAUUGCUCUGGGAUUUGUGUAGUCUUGUUCUUCCUUGGUUCAUGUCGGGAUUGCUCUGGGAUUUGUGUAGUCUUGUUCUUGAAGAAAAACGUCUCCUUCCUCCCUUUGAUGUAGAAUCUGAUCUUGGCAGCACUAGCGUAGAUGACAGCUCCCGAGGUGUUUAAGAAUGGCCUCCCUAAGAUAAUGGGUGCCCUCUCAUCAUUACCGGUCUCUAUCACCACGAAGUCUGCUGGGGCGUACAAGGUACCAACUCGGACACAGAGGUUCUUCAAUAUUCCCUUUGGGAAGCUUAAUGCCUGAUCUGCAAACUGCAAACACAUGGUUGUUUCUAAUAAAAGGAUAUGUAAAGAAUUUUUCAUAGAGUACCCUGGGCAUAAUGUUGACAUUGGAGCCAAAGUCGCAGAGUGGUUCUGGAAAGUCCACCAUGCCGAUGGAGAUCGGGAUGACGGGGCGUCCUGGAUCGCCUCUCUUGACCGGUAGAAGGUCAGUAGUAACUUCAGUGACGGGGUUACUCCAGUAGUUACCUGCCACUACAAGAAAUGUGUCAUCUUAUGAUGAUUAUGGCAUGACAUGUGAUCAAAAUGUCACUAAAUCGAUCAGUUUAUGACGUUCAUUUGAAAGCCAUCUCAACUUAGUGACAUAUAUGAUUUAAUGUCAUAAAAAAUGUCUUCAAUGUAGUGAAACUCCAUAUCGUGUCAAUGUUUGCCAUGUUAGGGGUUGUUUAAUUCCCAAAAAAUUUUCAAAAUUUGUCAAGAUUUUUCGUCACAUCAAAUCUUAUGGCACAUGCAUAUAGAUAAAAAUAACUAACUGCACACUGUAAUUUGUGAGACAAAUCUUUUGAGCCUAGUUAGUACAUGAUUAGACAAUAAUUAUCAAAUAUAAAUAAAAGUGCUAUAGUAGCCAUUUUGCAAAAUUUUCUGCAACUAAACAGGACUUUAAUGUUGACAAGGUAACAGUAAUAUGUCUGUGUUUAUAUGUGGGCCUGCAUAUUUUUUAUUUUGUUCUUUAGCUUUCUUCUUUUAUUGAAAAAAGAGAGAAAGAGAAAAAUUCUCAAAACACAAAAGAAAAAAGGAACAGGGAGAUAAAGACCCACGCACAAAUGCCCACGGCCAACACACGCAGCACGCAACACACGGCCAACACACGCUACAUCUAUCUCCCAUCCGGAUCCCUCGCGACCUCCUCCUGGAAGACCGACGCCGACGUCCACGUCCUGCUCCUCCCUUCCCAACGCAAGCUCUUCCUCUCUCCAUUCUCCGUUGUUGAUGUCGCCCUGCUUCCUAGAUGGACCAUGGCGGCGGGUCAGGCUCGGUGCGUGAGCUCCUAGCCACCGGCCGGAACCCUAGCCGCCGGUCAAAAUCCUAGCCACCGGCUGAAGGGGUGGCCGCACUUCUUCUCCGCCGACCAGAUCAAUUGUGGAUGGCCGUCCUUCUUCUUCUCCAGUCAGAUGCACGGUGAGUCGGCUGCCCUUCUUCUCCUCUGGCCAGAUCCACGACAUGGCAGCGAACUCCAGGACGCGGUGGCACCGGCUGCAGUAGCAGGUUUGUUGUUCCCUCUCUUUUUCCCCUCUCUCUUGCAGGCUGUGCGAUGGAUCUAUGGGUGGUGGAUCUGGUGUGGCGGGGUCUCCGCAUGGUGGUGGCUCUCCGGAUUCGGUCCACAAAAUCUUGGAAGGUAAAAUGACAAUGCAUACAAAGUUUUGCUAUCAUGAUUAGUUUAGAAGAUGGUUUUGUACGGCAGAUGGUAGAUCUAGAGCAGAUGGUGUGUUGUCAGAUUUUUUUUUGUUCCUAGUUGCCGUAUGUAGAGCAACUGGUAUGGAUAUUGAUAGAUUUUUUACUACUGCCUUAUGAUUCCUUUAACUAAUGUAAAAAAUAAUGAUAAAGCAAAGAAAGGAUAUGUGCUAUUUUGUAUUUUAGUGUAGCUUUAUAAUGUUAUUAUCCGAUCUAUUUUCUGCUUGAAUUCCAAUCACUAUGUCUGGCUGUAAAUUUGGUGGUUCAGUGCUAAUCACUAUGUGUGGCAUUAAAUAUCAAAGAUAUAUGAUGCUCUUGAUAUGCACUUGGCCAUAUAUGUUGAAGACAAUGUCUGGCAAUAGUUCGUAUAAAUUUGAGAAUUAUUUUAUUGUGUGGAAAAAAUGCAUAUCAUACCAGCACUAAUCAAGUGCACUUGUUCUUUGUUGUGCACUUUUCUGCAACUUUUAGGUAUAUGUACUUGGGGUACAGGAGAAUAAAGGAGGCUUAAUCUGGCUGGUCUGGUCUUUGAAGAUUGAAAUCAGGUUCAUAGUCAAUAUUGGUCUGGUAUUAUACCUUUGCUGGUCCGUGAAUAUUGGGAUCAAUUGCUUCUUUUUUUGUGCCUUGAUGAAGUGGUUGAAUAGUGUUUUCUUUGCCAGUUUCAUGUGGAGGAAUCCAUUCAGUAUUGGAAAAUUAAGAUGGCAGAAUAUAUUCUGGAAUUACUAUUUUCUUGCCAGGUGCUCACUACUUGUAAGUAUUUUCAAGGUCUAUACUAGGAUAUGUAGAUGGUCCUUGGGUCAUUUGACCAUCUUUGUUGCUAUUUUAGAAGAGCCUUAAAAGUAGCUAAUUUAUAUUCUCUCCAUCCAUAGUCACAUUAUAUUAUUGUUUGUAUAUACUUGAAAUUAUGUGGUAUUUGCCUCUAUAAUUUGUGUGUUGAUCAGCGGCACGCAGGCGGACUGAUCUGGUCUGAAAAUAUCCAUAAUGUUCUCCUUGUUGGGAUCCUAGUGAAGGCUUAUUAAGGUGAUUACACUAUUAGUUCAAUGCUUAUGAAAAUGCUAUGAUCAGAUACACAACUACUGAUUCUGACGGUAACAUAUCAGGCUAGCUAGGAGCAUAGAAAUUUUGGUCCUUGUCGCUACUAUUUUAGUGUCCCAUUCUAGAGGCUGGACCAUCUUACAACAUAUGCCUUUCUAAGGCUACCAAAUAAUAAAGCAAUUGAGCAUUCACAACUUUCUGAUUGCAGAGAUGGGCCACUAAGGUGCAAAAAACACCUGCACUUUUCUCCUUGCAUCAAACGUAUGACACCCAGUUUCCCUUUGAUGGAUAAAUAAAGUUAGCUGAUCAUGUAAAUAUCAUAUGAGGUAAGUAUAAUAGGGUUGGUGAUAUGGGAGGCAGAUUCAUUUGAGGCCUCCACCACAGCUUCUCUAGACCCUGCUUAAGAGCUAAUAGAAGCCUAUAUUCGGUCCUAAUGCUUAAACCAACAAACAGGUUCAUAUUAAAAUCUUGGGGAACAGAACUAACCUAAUGAUGGGUUUUAUGCAAAACUGAUGUGCCAGAUGGUUGGGCUCUUAGGGAUCCUACUAAUUUUCAGUUCUCGAGCCCCUAGUGAACAUUAGGUUACUUUUAGCCAAAGAGAGUAGGCUGUUGCCAUCUAUGCUUGGGGUGUGCUUGGUCUGAAGCGUUGCAAAUGACUGUUCGGCAUCAUUCUGGUGAUGUAUUUUUUGGUGUGUUGAUUUCACCGUUUGCUAGUACUAACUUCUCAUGAACGAGAUAUGCAGAUUGAUUGAUGUCCGAGCUGCAGUAUGCGUUGUUUCCUUCCAAUCAGGCCGCUGAUGCACCUUUUGGGACUGCUGAUGCUUGGCCUGCCCUACCAAUAAUGACCCCCUGAUGUAGACUUCAGUUUUGCAGGUUAUCAUUGCUUUGAGUCUGGUGCAACCAGUUUCGUUGCCCUUCGGUGUGCAACCGUGCGUCAUUCCCUGAUCCAACUAGAAUUAUAGCUAUUCAGCGGCGCAUUAGGCAGUGAACUUCUGCACUGCAGUUUUUGCGUGUGUCAUACGUUUGAUGUGAGUAAAAUACCUGAUGCUUCUGUGCACCUGUGAGUACAUUUGAGCAGGACAAUAGUUGGUCAUGAGUCAUCUUUACUUCUUUAGUUAUCUCGGUUAUGUGUAGUUCUAAACCUGAGACGCUACUAUAUCUGAACCUGAUACUAUUGUAGAACCUGAGACUAUGAUCCUUAUCUGAAACUUUAUAGGUAGAACUAUCUCAUCGAGUAGUUCUUGCGGAACACUCUUCCAUUGUGAUCUUGUAGCAAUAAUAUAAGCCAAGAUAAGAAAAAGAUAACCAAAUAUCCACUAAUUGUUCUGAAAAUAAAUAGUUUUGUAUUUGAGGCUGUUAUCUGUAUACUAGAAUUGAAUAUGAAAGUUUUAAUACUCCUCCACAUUGCAACUUAUAUAUAGUAUAUUAUAUUCGAAAAUAUAUUUGGCUACACACAAGAUACGUUUUUUCACGUAACUUCAGAAGGAUUUUCAAUUUUUAUUUAAAAAUUAGACAAAAUAAUCAAACCACAUAAAUUAUCUGCUCCAAUCAUGUAAUCUGUUAUCCUGCUCUAAUGCUCCAAUUGUGAGUCAAGAAUAUGUCACUGCUUGGAGGGAUAUCUAUCUACAUAUCUUUAAUUUUUUACUGUUCUGAAAUAAGUGUUGUUCCAGUUUUGAAAACGUUUCCUAAUUUUUGACUUCAAGAUGUUACAGUUGAUUGGAGAUAUGCCUUGCUAAGUUCAUUUGUUCUGAAAAUAUUUGGUGUAGUGAGAUCAUAUAUGAAUAGAUUAUUAUAACUGUUGUUUGAUUUGUUCCAGCUUACAUAUGUGACGUUCCUUUUUGACUUUUUUCAUUUGUUUCAACGAGUGAUGUUUGUUUCUGAUGUAUUUUCUACAGGACAUGGAGAAAUUCUAGCAACCUAAGGUACUCACUCAUGCUCCUGACACCAAGAAGACCUAGCUGCCAGCACCUAUUGAGCUAUUAGUUUGGUGACUAAGGUCACUUGUGAGAUAGGGAUGUGAGGUUUCAUUUAUUUACUUUAUCUGAGAUAUCUUUGUGACUAAGGUCACUUGUUGAACUAUAGUUUCAUGUUCAUGAUGAAUAUAGUAAAUAUGUUGAUGAAUGACUUGUGAACCUAUUGAUUUGGCCAUGAAUGGAAUAUAUUGUUGAACCUACAGAUGUUAAUGUGGAUUGUUUGAUGUGUGGGUGGGGUACGUGAUGGUGUGGAUCGAGGCCUAAGAACCUAUGACAUAAAAGUAGAAGUCAUAAACGCUUGUGACAUCCGAAACCAAUGUCAUAAUAUUAUGACAUGAACACUUAAACGUCACAAGUUGUUAUUAAAGACGCGCAUCUUUUGACAUUUCAGUUUUCGUCAACUUUGUGUCAUAAAUGGUGAUCUGUGACUUAUUUAGCAUGAAUUAUGACAUAUAUCAAAUGUCAAAAGAGGACAUAUUUCUUGUAGUGUGCAUCAAACAUGUCUACAAGAUUUGCAGAUUCUAAUCCUUCCGGUUGUGAUGGUAUACCGGGGUUAGUAGUAGGAACAACAGUAGCUAUUUGAUUUAACUGAGAUUUAAUCAUUUUAUUAAAGCUAAUUUGAUUCAUGAUGGCAGUAGAGAAAUUAUCCAUUCUAUUAUUUAUAUUUUCUAGCAUUUUAUCAUUAGAUGCCAAUUUCUUAGAUAGGUUAUCCAUUAGCUUUCCUUGAUUAGACACUAACCUCUCAGAGGUGGAAAAUUAUUAUUAUUGUUGUAAGAAUUGUUGCCUUGAUAAUUACCUGAGUAGUUAGGCCUCUGUUGAUUCCAACCUUGAUUUUGUUGAGGACGGUUGUAGUAGGAGUAGUUGUUGUUGUUGAUGUAGUUCACAUCCUCAAGCAUCUCAGGGCAGUGAUUGCCUGAGUGUCCACUAUCUCCACACUCCUCACAAGUGAUGUGAGAGUCGUAGAUAUGCAUAACUUCUUUCUUAUCUCCAGCUCUAUCAUCGAGCUUCUUCAUGAGUAGGUCUAGCUUUGCACACAACAUGUCUACCUCCUUGAGCUGAUGCAUACCUCCACCUUUCUUGCGUGUCUGGGUCCUCUCUUCAUUCCAGCUUUGGUUGGACGCCAUCUUCUCCACAAGAGCUGUGGCUUGUGAUAUGGUGAGUGAUAGGAAUGCUCCUCCAGCUGCAGCAUCCAUGGUUUCUCGGGUACUGUUGCCAAGCUCAUGAUAAAACGUCUGCAUUAGUAGCCAACUCUCCAUUCCAUGAUGGGACAUUCUAGGAUGUAGUCUUGGAAGCGCUCCCAUGCUUCUGGAAUAGAUUCAUCAUGUUGUUGCUGAAAACUUGUAAUUUUCCCGCGGAGUGCAUUGGUCUUGCCCAUGGGAAAGAACUUAGCCAGGAAGUUCGUGGAGCAAAGUGCCCACGUAGUAUUCUUCUCCUUUGUAGCGUAGAACCACUGCUUCGCUCUCCCUAACAGUGAGAAUGGGAAGAGGCGAAGUAGUAUAGUAUCUCUGGGGACUCCUGAUAUGGUGAAUGUGCUGCAUAUCUCCAGAAAGUGUUGGAGAUGAGCACUAGCAUCUUCGUGGGCCUUCCCAUAGAAUUGGUUGGAUUGCACCAUGUUGUUAAGUCCAGGCUUGAGCUCAAAGUUGCCGUCGAUAUCUGCAGCAGGUCCAGUGCGGAUGUUGUCCGUAGUGGGAGCUGAGAACUCACGGAUCGAUUUGUUCGCCAUGACUUCGAACUCUGAAAACAAGUUCUGGUGAUCUUCUUGAUUGGAUGAAGCUUCUUGCUGAAGUGUUGAUGAUCUCUUCUUGAGCUUAGCUCUUGUUUUUCUGAAUAACGCUUCGGGAUUGUCAACAAAAUUUCCAGGAAGAUGUCUUCUAUUCAUACAUUACCCUGCAUAAGAUAAAAUAGAAAAAUAUCAGGGUAAAACUAUAUGAGAGAAUUGAUAAGCUCAAUCAUAUUAGUGAUGCGAAUGAUGACUCAAAAUUCUAUAUUCAUUCCUGAUUAGUAAUCAACCUUCCCCGGCAACGGCACCAAAAAUGCUUGUUGGGCAUUCUUAACGUCACUACCAAAAGUAGACUUAGUUUUCUAAUUCUGAUAGCGGUGCCAAAAAUGCCAAACCUAUCUCUCAUGCCACUUAAGCCAAGUUGUCAUCCCCAGCAUGACAUGAGAGACGCGGUAUUGAAAUAUGCAAUUGCUCUUCUAAAUAAAUAACAAAUGAGAUCUGCAAGCGCAUAGAUUAAUACCGAUGUAGCAUUUUAACCGGGAAGAAUUCCAGGUAUCGUUAUUUUUAUUUUUACCACUGGGAAGGGAUUGCUAAACAUCAAUGUUGAUUAUAGAAUGGAAUAUAAGAUUGAGUAUCUAUCAUUGCAUGUAUAAUUGAGAACAUUUAUCUAACUCUUUCAUACAGGGAUAAGUGAAACAUAAAGGAUAUAUAAAGUAAUGAAUAGUGAUAAAGAUAAUUAAUCUGAUCAGCAUAACUUAGCCACAUAUAAAUAUGAUAAGCACCUCAAUUAGAUAUUCUAGCAAGUCAUUAGCAUGGAAUUAGAACGAACUACAAGAAUAUUUCCUAAGUUAUUCUUAACUAUACAGUCUAGCAUAUCAUAGUUAGUGCAAUUAUACUUAGCAAUCAUUGUGAGACAAGAUUACACCCAUGCAUAGUGAUAUUAUCAAGGAAUAUGAGAAACAUCGCAAUCACUCUCCUGUAAUAAUGUCGCUCUGCCAGCCCAAUAGACGAGAGGGGGAGUAUAUAAGAAUCCUAUGUAGCUAUGCUUAUCUAGAGAUCUAAUUGAUGUGGUGGCUCUAGGCUUGAUCAGAGGCUUCUUCUCCUUGAUGAAUAAUGAAUUAGGGUUGAGAGGUGCUCUCCUCCAGGGGCCAGGGGUCUAGUUAUAUAGACCUUUCAAGUGAAUAUGGGCCGUCGGAUCAAACCGACAUUGAUUGAACGGUUAUCCUUGAUCCUUUAGGUCAGUGGAGCGUGAUCUGCGAAACGAGUCCGGAUUGGAUACCAAAGGGGGGCGGGCGCCCUGGGCCAGGCCCCGUUCUGCCUCCGCUUCGUUCCCGUGGCUUCUGGAGUCUUCUAGAUGAUAGAAAAUUGCACGACACGUUAAUAUCUCUAUGUAAUACCGAUGUGUGGGCCUUUCUUCCGUAUUUCCUGAUAACCCCCUGCAGAAAUAGACAAAACCAAAACUCGUGGAAUUCUGUCAGAUAAAACCCUAAGUCUAGAUGUUGAUUGCAUUUGGAUCCUUUUCUUUGUUUAUUUGAUAAUUAAAUUUGAUACUUAAGGACCGUCAACACUCUCUACCCUUCAACUUCCACUUCGUUUUUAAAGUGUGCCAACACCUCCAUGUGUGUACCAACAUGUGCAAGUGUGUUAGCAUUUUCACAAUCAUUUUCUUCGAAGGUGUUAAGUUAGCUCACUAGGUUCUAAAUGCAUGCACAAGAACAAUGACACCUAGUGGCACUUGAUAACCGCUUAGCCAAAGAAUUCCCCUAUUUAUAGUACGACUAUCUAUCCUAAAUGUGAUCACACCCUUUAUGGUGUCUUGAUCACCAAAACCAAAACCCUAAGCAAUUCCUUUUCCUUGAUCUCCAUAAGGUUUUGUUUUUCUCUUUCUUCUUUUCCGAGUUGAGUACUUGAUCAUCUUGUGGUCAUCACCAUCAUCACCAUGAUGAUUACUUGCUCCAUCACUUAGCACGUACCAACCUCAUUAAGUCUACACACACUUAGUAUAGAGGUUAGUACUAGGGUUUCAUCAAUUAUCCAAAACCAAACUAGGGCUUUCACCAGACCCCCCUAGAGGAGGCUAGAUCAAGAGAUGAAGAGUUAGAGCAUUAGUAGAGAUCCACUAGAUCUAGGCUAGUAAUCACGAUAGAGAUUAGAGAGAUAGAGUAGAGGAGUAGAGAUUAGGAGGAGUCUUGGCCUGUCAGAGCUUCCUCAGGAGCUGUAUUUGUCUGGAUUCGGCUCCCUCGCCUAGAGCUACGUUCUGAGGUACUUUUGUAUUUACCAUUCUAAUUCAAGUAAGCAACUUGUUUUUAUUCGUUCUUUGGUUUGCAACUCAUAUUAUAUUGAGUACUUCGAUUUAGGUAGCUCCUAGGUCGGAGUAGUGAUUCAUAGCAUAGACGUGGUGUCCGGGCUAUGGUUGCUUGUAGAUGUCCCCUGAUCAGCCGGACAGUGGUAGCUCGCAUAGGUGACUUUAUAGCUAUGUUGAAUCCUCUGUAGUCCACUUCCCAUUGAUAGGACUGAUAGGCUUAUUGGUGCCUGGUAGGAGAUUACUCUGUUUCUUCUCAUAUUCGGGUUACUUGUCCGAUAAGAUGAUAUUAUACAAAGUUUACCGGUUAUUAGAACCAAAGUACAUUAGCUAUUUCCUCAUUCUCAAUAGUUUUCUAGAUUGUUUGUACCCCCUUAGAUUAAGAGUUAUAGGCUAAGUUGAAAGAGAAUCUAGGCCCCUAAUGAUUUCGGUGAUUAAUGACAAUGUUGAUUUCUGUGACUAACGUGUGUUUUGUAGAGGCACAAUCAUUAGUGAGGUCAUGGAAAUAUGUACUCGAUGAACAGGGACAUACAUGCCUACUUAAUAGUGGAAAUCAUUUCGGUUUUCAAAGGAUGGAUGGACAUCGUCAAGACUAGACUAGGUCUAAGUGCCAUAUGGUGAAGAAGGGCACUUAUAGUAGUUUAGGACUUUGUUUUCCUUUGACCGUACUAUUAAGAGGGGAUUUGAUCUAGUAGCUUGACUUAGGCAAGGCUUUAGGUUUAGGUGUGGUGCACACUUGGUAAACCUAGCACUAUGCAGCUCAGAGACAGUCCUUAGAUCGAGAGGAACCAACUUCGUUUUUGAACGGUCGCGUUUCGACGAAGUUAGGGUGCCUAAGUAGGCACCGGACGCUGUUGACACUUGCUAACACCACUUGAAUACUAGGUUGUCAUCCCCAGCGUGGCACUAGAGUGUACUAUGGUAUUUAUACGCACACAGAUAAUCCGCAAGCGCACGGAUACCGUUGAAGCUUUUACCCGGUUAAAGGUUUUAUCGUAUCCACAGGGAAACAGGAGAACUGAUCUACGCUCUAACUUAACCAAGAUAAGUAAAUAGGUGUGAAUAGGAAAGAUAGUAGAAUCGAAUAAGAACAAUACUAAAGGUAAGAUAACAGUGAGUGAUAAUAUGGGAAUAGAGAGUAGAGCAAUUCUAGUAUAUGGGCGAUGGUAGCAGAAUAGAGAGGAUAACUAUGGUUUCUCUACUUCAAAGGGGUAUGUCUAUGUCUGGGACGAACCAUGUGAUAAGAGUACACCACAAAGGAUGCUUAUCCAUAGGCCGAUAAACCCUACCCGUCCUGCUAACGAGAGGUGGACUACAGGGGACCAACGUAACUGUCACCUACGCGGCCUACCACACGAUCCAGCUAGUCAGGGGAUAUCCACAAGUAAUCUAGGUCUAAGCACCACGCUUACACCUAUACUACAACUCUAACCUAUAGGGUCCUAUAGAUUAGAAGUACUCAAAAGAGUUGUGAACCAGAACAUACAUGAUUAGUAAUUGCAUAAUGAAUUAGAAGUAGAUUACCAGAGUCAUCCCAUGAGCAAGCUUGAUUAGAGCUUGAUCAUGGCGAAGUACAACCGGAGGAAGAACCGACAGGCCGGCCUCUCCUCUAAUCCUCCUUCGCUCUCCAUCUCGCUACUAUCUAGAUCUACUCUAGUUUAGAGAAGAGAGGAGAGCUCUCAUCUCUAAACCCUAGCUUUUUCUCUGUCUAUGAAUAAUGAAUAAUGAUCAAGGGGUUGCCUCCUCCAGGGGCCAGGGGGUCUAGUUUUAUAGUCCCCUCAAGUGAACCUGGGCCGUCGGAUCAAACCGACAUUGAUUGAACGGUUAUUCUUGAUCCUUUAGGUCGGUGGAACAUAAUCCGCGAGAUUGAGCGUGAUUGGCCACAGGAGGUGGGCGGGCGCCCAGUAGGACAGGGCGGGCGCCCUGUCUCUGGCCCCGUUUCGCCUCCGCUUGGUCUCGUGGCUUCUGGAGUCUUCUAGAUGUAAGAUAAUUGCGCGGCACGUUAAUAUCUUUAUGUAAUCCCGACGUGUGGGCCUUUCUUCCUUAUUUCCUGAUAACCCCCUGCAGAAAUAGACAAACACCAAGUCUUGAUGUUGAUUUCAUUUGGAUCCUUUUCUUUGUUUAUUUGAUAGUUAAAUUUGAUACUUAAGGACCGUCAACAAACUCCCCCAAGCUUACCUCUUGCUCGUCCCUGAGCAAGGAUAGACUUUGCAAUGGAUCAGAAGUUGUUGCAAUAUCUUAAAAAUUUAACGGUACACAUGCUUUAAAUAAGAUCUCAUUUCUAAGUUAGAGUAAACUGUCAAGAACUAAAACUUACUUUACCUUUCACCAUGGGACUUGUAACCGUCACUUCUGUCUUGAGUAGUUAAAAGAUAGAACAGUCUAGCCAAGUGCCAUGUCUCUUAUUCUUGAUCAGCUAUAGCUCUGGAGUUUUUUUUGCAGAUUUUCAAAUAAAACUCAGAGAUUCCUUUGUAUGACUCUCUCAUAUCUCUCUUUUGUGGUAUUUCUGGAUCCUUACCAAGGCAGUGAUGGUAUAUGCCUUCUCUCAAAAUAUGUGGUAUUUGUGGUAUAAGGCAUAGUGACAUUGCCUUCUCUCUCACCCUACUCUAAUAAGGCUUUAAUAUCUGGAGCUCAUAGGUGGGAGAUAAAGUAUACAUACUUACAAGACAUUUAUUGUAUAGUAAAACCAUGGAUCCAAAGAAACAAAUCAAUAAGCCAAAUCAAGAUGUGCAUGUGUGGCGAAUGAAUAGUGUAUGGUGAUGAUGGUGAUAACAAUGGUGAAAGUCUAAUUCUACUUUUGCUCUUUUGAGGGGAUACAUACCUUCCUUGCUUUUUGAAACUUUAUGAGGAGAAUGAGAUGCUCUUCUUUUUCUUUCCACUCAGGUGGGUAUCUUGUACCCCUAAUUCUACUGUCGGACACUUGUCCAUUUUUACCUCUCGUCUCACUUUUUUUCUUUUCUUUCGAGGUUCCGGGCACUUGCCCCUUUUUAUUUCCUCGUUUAUUUUUUUAUUUUAUUUUUUUUUCUUCUUUUUUUUAGAGCACUCAUCUCUUGAGAUAAUAUAGCAAGUGGUAGUAGCAAGAUAACUUGAGCAUUUAUUUCACAAGGGAAAAACACAGAUGUUUUUGGCUUUUCUCUCCCGAAUUAGGAGUAGAAUAUUUUUAGGUGAUUCUGGAGAUGGAUAUGGAUGGAUAUAUGUGGAUGGUACUUCCGGAGUAGAAGUAGCAUAUAUAUGAGUGAACGUGCAAGUGAAUCUUGAUUUAACCACAUGACAAGCUCCUAAGGGUCUACACAGCUUGACCACACUCAAUGCUCAUAAGCAGUAAAUAAUAAAUGUGUGGUUCAAAGUCUAGCAAGCAUGUAUAUAUGGCUGUGGUAGGAAUUUAAACUUUUAUCAUACAGGAACUCAUCAUGCAACAUUUUAAAGAUUUUUCAAAGAUAAAAUUCUCCAGAAUUCUAGCAUCUCUUGGAAUAGAUAAACAACAACUCAACCUUCCCAUAUCAUAUCCGUUAACAACUUAGAUUUCAGAUCAAGUUUUCAUCCCACAAGUUUAGAUCUAGAGCAAGCUUUAAAUUAUAACAGUUAUGUCUAAACUUGAGAGAGAACUUCAAAUUUGCAAAUUAGGCAGAGCAACUAUUCAUCAUAUCCAUGCUAGAGUUUUAUUAUUAAGAUUCAUAGCAAACUUUAUUUAUUUAUUUAGCAAACUAAGAAAAGUAUAUAUAUAUAAGCAUAAAAUCUUUAUUUGGUUUUUUUUAUAGUUUAUGUAUUUUAAUAUUCUAAUAUAAUAUAAGUAUAAAGAUAGGUAGAAAUACUUAGCGAGAUAAAUGGGGGUGCUCUCCCCCAAGCUGAAUUUUGACGUAAUUUCUCUUGAUGUAGCUAGCAGGUGGCAGAGGUGUAUUUGAAAGUCAGCAGCAUUCUGACAGCGAUUAGAAUGUCCUCCGUCUGCUAGUCUUCUUGAUUCUUAAAUUCUGUGGAGCUCAAAUAGACAACAAAGCUUGUGGAACUAAUUAAGUGUUAGCAUAAAUAUCUAGCCUUCAUCAUGUUGAGCUUCCUCAAUAAAUAUUACUCCCUCUUUUUAUAUUUUUAUUUUAUAAAGUAGAAAAGAAAUAUUUAUUUUAUUUUUAUGCCACCACAUUGAAGGUACUUAUGGGUUUUAUGCUACUCGUAUACUCACAUGGGGCUUAGUAUUUUUUAACAUUUUUAUUUUCUUUUCAAGAUAGCAUGAUUAACUAAAAAUCUAUUUAAGGAAAGUAAAUAAUUAAAGGGAAAAGGGAAUGCAGAAAGGAUAAAUAUGGAUAACUACCAAUCUUACCUUUCGGCGAGGGUUCAAUGUUUUAAGUCUUCUUGACAAGACUUCUCACCGUGUUCAUUCUUCAGGUGCGUCAUUUGAUUCAGGUGCAGACCUUGACGUCUGCACCUUUUAAUACGGUGUCACCCAUGUUCUUCGUUUGCCCAGCAGUUCGAAGUGAGGUGUUAGCAGUAUCUUGCUCAGUGUGUUUGUGCUCGUAGUGUACCUGCUCAUAGAGACAAGGCAGAGAUCAAGUGCGUGGGCCCUGUUGGUGGAAAACACCAACAGAACCAAAAGUGUAUUUGUUCUUCUCUAACCUUAAGCAUAGUGAGCAAGACAAAGUUGAUGGAUGAUAAGUUCAUGAGUGUAGCACUUAUAACAUUUGUCAGAUCAGAUCGCUCAACCUUAUGGAAAGAUAAUCUAUCUAUGUAUAUGUCUUUUUCUUUAUAUCUCUCAAUGAUUGAAUGUGUAACAUUUUAGCUCAUAUGAUUAGGAGUGUGGGAUCAUGGAGGUAGUACUAAGAACAAGGAUUAAAGGACUAAACAUGUUGAAUCAGUUGGGUUGGUUAAUCUAGAGUUGUAAAUCAUACACGUUUGUCUCUUUUAUUUAUAUGAACGCCAGAACCAAGGAGAAGCUUAUAAAAGUGAUAGUCAAGUACCUUAGGAUGUUACCUUGCUUGAAA